AUACUUGCCUGGCUAAGGACACACCAUGAUCACUAAGGUGAUUUUCCCAGGGCAAAUCUUUUCCAUUGCACUUUGGGUGUGCUGACCGCUGCGAUUUCCCCAAAUGUCGAAAGACUGGGCUGCAUAAUUUGUGGUAGUGGGGAACUGAGUCUGCGCUCUUCCCUG